GUGCCAAGCAGCCGCGGUAAUUCCAGCUCCAAUAGAGUAUAUAAACGUUCCUGCAGUUAUUCGAUGCUCGUAGUUGGAUUUCUGAGGUUGAGACGGGAGGGUGGCUAUGGCCAUCGCCCGACUCUUUCCUCAUCCACCUGUUUGCGAAGUCCGGGAUUGAUUUCUCGGCUUCGGGCGCAGUAUCUUACCAUUUCAAUAUUCGUAGUCUUCAUCGAUUAUGUUGUUUCUUUGAGCAAAUUAUAGUGUUUCAGGCAGGCGUGCGCCGGAAUACAUUAGCAUGGUAUAAACGAAUUGGACCGUGUGCCCGUAACUGGGCUUCUCCUUAUUGUUGGUUUGAAGGACACGGAGUUGGUUAAUAGGGACAGCGUUUAUUUCACAAGGAGGCAUUAGUAUUUAAUUUCCAGAGGUGAAAUUCUUUGAAAUAUUAAAGACUAACUUAUGCGAAAGCAUCGUUUGCCAAUGAUGUUUUCAUUAAUCAUUGAACGAAAGUUAGGGGAUCAAAGACGAUCAGAUACCGUCCUAGUCUUAACCAUAAACGUUGCCGACUAGGGAUCGGAGGGCGUGCACAAUCCGCCUUCGGCACCUUACGAGAAAUCAAAGUCUUUUGGGUUCUGUGGGUAGUAUGGUCGCAAGGCUGAAACUUAAAGGAAUUGACGGAAGGGCACCACCAGGAGUGGAGCUUGCGGCUCAAUUUGACUCAACACGGGAAAUCUUACCAGGUCCAGACAUAGCGAGGAUUGACAGAUUGAUAGCUCUUUCUUGAUUCUAUGGGUAUUUUUGGGUGGUGCAUGGGCCGGUUCUUUAGUUCGUGGGAGGGGAUUUCGUCUGGGUUAAAUUUCCGGUUAAACGAAACGGAGACCUCAGCCUGCUAAAAUAGUUGGCUCGCCUUUUUCUAUAAGGACUUUGACCAACUUCUAGAGGGGAACUUUUGUGUGCAUACCAAGAAAGGUUGAAGGCAAUAACAGUCUGUGAAUGCCAAGCCGAAUGCGAGCACACUGCGACCGGUACCUAGGUGAAUCGGAAGCAG
rnacentral:rRNA from 1 species